GGGAGAGCUGUCCAGAUUGGUGUUAAAAAGUUUAUGAUCACAGGUGGAAGUCUACAAGACAGUAAAGAUGCACUGCGGUUGGCACAAACAAAUGGGCUGUCUACCGCUUCCUGUGGAAGGCUCUCUACCCUCCUGGGCUCAGUUGCAAGUCCCUGUUGAACUUCAGUAGCCAAGCACUCUGACACUGACCCAUUCUCCCAGCGCUCUGCUGUGUGUUCCUGGCUAUUAAAAUACUGAAGUCUGA
rnacentral:lncRNA from 1 species